rnacentral:rRNA from 1 species
CGGGUGAGUAACGCGUGGGUAAUUUACCCUCGAAUCCGGGAUAACCCCGCGAAAGCGGUGCUAAUACCGGAUAAUAUCUUUUGGGCUCCGGCCUUUAAGAUCAAAGGUGGCCUCUACAUGUAAGCUACCGUUUGAAGAUGAGCCCGCGUACCAUUAGCUUGUUGGUAGGGUAACGGCCUACCAAGGCCGCGAUGGUUAGCUGGUCUGAGAGGAUGAUCAGCCACACUGGAACUGACACACGGUCCAG